CAUAGCCGCGGGAAUACGUAGGGUGCGAGCGUUAAUCGGAAUUACUGGGCGUAAAGCGGGCGCAGACGGUUACUUAAGCAGGAUGUGAAAUCCCCGGGCUCAACCUGGGAACUGCGUUCUGAACUGGGUGACUAGAGUGUGUCAGAGGGAGGUAGAAUUCCACGUGUAGCAGUGAAAUGCGUAGAGAUGUGGAGGAAUACCGAUGGCGAAUGCAGCCUCCUGGGAUAACACUGACGUUCAUGCCCGAAAGCGUGGGUAGCAAACAGGAUUAGAUACCCCCGUAGUCCCUGUCUCUUAUACA
rnacentral:rRNA from 1 species